GACGAACGCUGGCGGCGUGCCUAAUACAUGCAAGUCGAGCGAUGAAGAUUGGUGCUUGCACCAAUUUGAAGAGCAGCGAACGGGUGAGUAACGCGUGGGGAAUCUGCCUUUGAGCGGGGGACAACAUUUGGAAACGAAUGCUAAUACCGCAUAACAACUUUAAACAUAAGUUUUAAGAUUGAAAGAUGCAAUUGCAUCACCCAAAGAUGAUACCGCGUUUUAUUAGCUAGGUGGGGAGGUAAAAGCUCACCAAGGCGAAGAUACAUAGCCGAACUUAGAAGGUGACCAGCCAACCUUGGAACGCAGCACGGCCCAAACUACCACGGGAGGCGGCAAUAGGGAAUCUUUGGCAGUCGACGUAAGUCCUACCGGGAAACCCCCCGUGCAUGGAGGAAGGUUUCGGAUCGUUAAACUCGGUUGGUAGGGAAGAACGAUGGUGAGAGUGAACAGCUCAUCAAGUGACGGUAACUACCCAGAAAGGGACGGCUAACUACGUG
rnacentral:rRNA from 1 species